rnacentral:miRNA from 1 species
GUAUUCUUUCAUCUUCUACUA